rnacentral:rRNA from 1 species
AUACGGAGGAUCCGAGCGUUAUCCGGAUUUAUUGGGUUUAAAGGGUGCGCAGGCGGCCAUUUAAGUCAGCGGUUAAAUCGUGGGGCUCAACCCCAUUCUGCCGUUGAUACUGGGGGGCUUGAUUGCGGUCGAGGUUGGCGGAAUUCGUUGUGUAGCGGUGAAAUGCAUAGAUAUGACGAAGAACACCGAUUGCGUAGGCAGCUGACCAGGCCGCAAAUGACGCUCAUGCACGAAAGUGCGGGGCUCGAACAGGAUUAGAUACCCUGGUAGUCCGCACAGUAAACUAGGUAUACUUGUUUUCGGCGAUAUAAUGUCGGAGGCAAAGCGAAAGCGAUAAGUAUUCCCACUGGGGAGUACGCCGGCAACGGUGAAACUCAAAUGAAUAGACGGGU